UGCCUACCAUGCAGUCGAACGAGACCUUCGGGUCUAGUGGCGCACGGGUGCGUAACGCGUGGGAAUCUGCCCUCUGGUACGGAAUAACUCUGGGAAACUUGAGCUAAUACCGUAUAAUGACUUCGGUCCAAAGAUUUAUCGCCUGAGGAUGAGCCCGCGUAGGAUUAGCUUGUUGGUGAGGUAAAAGCUCACCAAGGCGACGAUCCUUAGCUGGUCUGAGAGGAUGAUCAGCCACACUGGGACUGAGACACGGCCCAGACUCCUACGGGAGGCAGCAGUGGGGAAUAUUGGACAAUGGGCGAAAGCCUGAUCCAGCAAUGCCGCGUGAGUGAUGAAGGCCUUAGGGUUGUAAAGCUCUUUUACCCGGGAUGAUAAUGACAGUACCGGGAGAAUAAGCCCCGGCUAACUCCGUGCCAGCAGCCGCGGUAAUACGGAGGGGGCUAGCGUUGUUCGGAAUUACUGGGCGUAAAGCGCACGUAGGCGGCUUUGUAAGUUAGAGGUGAAAGCCCCGGGGCUCACUCCGGAAUUGCCUUUAAGACUGCAUCGCUAGAAUUGUGGAGAGGUAAGUGGAAUUCCGAGUGUAGAGGUGAANUUCGUAGAUAUCCGNAAAACACCAGUGGCGAAGGCGACUUACUGGACANUAUUGACGCUGAAGUGCGAAGCGUGGGANCAAACAGGAU
rnacentral:rRNA from 1 species